UGGGGAAUAUUGCACAAUGGGCGCAAGCCUGAUGCAGCCAUGCCGCGUGUGUGAAGAAGGCCUUCGGGUUGUAAAGCACUUUCAGCGAGGAGGAAGGCGUUAAGGUUAAUAACCUUGGCGAUUGACGUUACUCGCAGAAGAAGCACCGGCUAACUCCGUGCCAGCAGCCGCGGUAAUACGGAGGGUGCAAGUGUUAAUCGGAAUUACUGGGCGUAAAGCGCACGCAGGCGGUUUGUUAAGUCAGAUGUGAAAUCCCCGAGCUUAACUUGGGAACUGCAUUUGAAACUGGCAAGCUAGAGUCUUGUAGAGGGGGGUAGAAUUCCAGGUGUAGCGGUGAAAUGCGUAGAGAUCUGGAGGAAUACCGGUGGCGAAGGCGGCCCCCUGGACAAAGACUGACGCUCAGGUGCGAAAGCGUGGGGCAGCAAACAGGAUUAGAUACCCUGGUAGUCCACGCUGUAAACGAUGUCGAUUUGGAGGUUGUGGGCUUGACCCGUGGCUUCCGGAGCUAACGCGUUAAAUCGACCGCCUGGGGAGUACGGCCGCAAGGUUAAAAC
rnacentral:rRNA from 1 species